UGGUAGUGAUUGGUUAUAGUUGAAAAAGUAGGCAGAUAAAAAGUUAGGAUACACCAAACCAACUUUUGUAUGUUCAGGGUAUCUAGCUUGAAUGGUUCAUGAGUUAAUGUUGGUGGGUUAUUUUAUGGAAAUGUAUGCACAUUUCCAUUGUUAUAGUUUUAAAGAAUUUGAUGUUGGGUUGUCGUCGGGAAUGGAGGACCAAAACGCAGCAGGAAUGUGGAUGCUCAUCUUGUAUUUCUUUUUAAAUCAAGAAAACACCAAAAUAACAAACAAAGAACUCACGAACAACAAAACAGUCUUGUCAGGCUCACACAGGCGAAACAAGAAACAAUCUCCUACAAACACUAAACCAAACACAUACCCAUAUAUAGGACUCCCAAUCAGAGGCAACGAGAAGGCACCUGCCUCCAAUUGAGAGUCCAACCCCAAUAAACCAGACAUAGAAAUACAAAAGACCAGAGACCACAUAGAAAUACAAACAUAGAACAUUACCCAAAAACCCAGAAAUAAUUAAUCAAACGCCCUACUAAAUAAAACAACACCCCGAACCACAUAAAACAAAUACCCUUCUGCCGCGUCCUGAACAAACUACAAUAACAAAUAACCCUUAUACUGGUCAGGACGUGACAUUAGGAUAGCCUGAACAUGUGAAAGUUGGUGCUAUUGUCUGCAGUAGUAAUGGUCACUGGUUAGAGUUGAAAAAAUAGGUAUAUUAAAAUAUUGAUUGAUAGGAUAGCUUGAACAAGUGAACGUUGGUUUGGUGUCUCUAGCUUGAACGGUUCAAGAGCUACAAUUAUUUUUGGUGGAUAUUAUAUGCUAAUUUAUGCUACUUUAAGUAAUUAUAUUUUAAUUUAUAGUGCAUACCAGAGCUAGCUAGCUGCGCCCAGGACCAGAGCUGGACCAGAGCUAGUGCAGACCAGAGCUAGCUAGCUGCGCCCAGGACCAGAGCUAGUGCAGUAGUAGAGGACCAGAGCUAGUGCAGUAGUUGUGGUCAGUAGCUGUGGUCAGUAGUUGUGUGGUUGUGGUCAGUAGCUGUGGUCAGUAGCUGUGUGGUUGUGGUCAGUAGUUGUGUGGUUGUGGUCAGUAGCUGUGGUCAGUAGUUGUGGUCAGUAGUUGUGGUCAGUAGUUGUGUGGUUGUGGUCAGUAGUUCUGGUCAGUAGUUGUGUGGUUGUGGUCAGUAGCUGUGCAUGGUAGCUGUGGUCAGUAGAUGUGGUCAGUAGCUGUGGUCAGUAGUUGUGUGGUUGUGGUCAGUAGCUGUGGUCAGUAGUUGUGUGGUUGUGGUCAGUAGUUGUGUGGUUGUGGUCUGUAGCUGUGGUCAGUAGUUGUGUGGUUGUGGUCUGUAGCUGUGGUCAGUAGUUGUGUGGUUGUGCAUGGUAGCUGUGGUCAGUAGAUGUGGUCAGUAGCUGUGGUCUGUAGCUGUGUGGUUUAGUUGUGGUCAGUAGUUGUGUGGUUGUGGUCAGUAGUUGUGGUCAGUAGCUGUGGUCAGUAGUUGUGGUUCAGUAGUUACAUUUACAUUACAUUUUAGUCAUUUAGCAGACGCUCUUAUCCAGAGCGACUUACAGUAGUGAAUGCAUACAUUUCAUUUCAUACAUUUUUUUUUUUCCUGUGCUGGCCCCCCGUGGGAAUCGAACCCACAACCCUGGCGUUGCAAACACCAUGCUCUACCAACUGAGCUACAGGGAAGGCUAGUUGUGUGGUUGUGGUCAGUAGUUGUGGUCAGUAGUUGUGGUCAGUAGUUGUGGUCAGUAGCUGUGGCCAGUAGAUGUGGUAUGUAGCUGUGAUCAAUAGUUGUGGUAUGUAGUGGUCAGUAGCUGUGGUCAGUAGCUGUGGUCAGUAGUUGUGGUCAGUAGUUGUGGUAUGUAGUGAUCAGUAGUUGUGGUCAGUAGUUGUGGUAUGUAGUGGUCAGUAGUUGUGGUCAGUAGCUGUGGUCAGUAGUUGUGGUAUGUAGUGGUCAGUAGUUGUGGUAUGUAGUGGUCAGUAGUUGUGGUCAGUAGUUGUGGUCAGUAGCUGUGGUCAGUAGUUGUGGUAUGUAGUGGUCAGUAGUUGUGGUAUGUAGUGGUCAGUAGUUGUGGUCAGUAGUUGUGGUCAGUAGUUGUGGUAUGUAGUGGUCAGUAGUUGUGGUAUGUAGUGGUCAGUAGUUGUGGUCAGUAGUUGUGGUCAGUAGUUGUGGUAUGUAGUGGUCAGUAGUGGUCAGUAGUUGUGGUCAGUAGUUGUGGUCGGCAGCUGUGGUCAGUAGUUGUGGUAUGUAGUGGUCAGUAGUUGUGGUAUGUAGUGGUCAGUAGUUGUGGUCAGUAGUUGUGGUAUGUAGUGGUCAGUAGUGAUCAGUAGUUGUGGUCAGUAGUUGUGGUCAGUAGUUGUGGUAUGUAGUGGUCAGUAGUUGUGGUCAGUAGCUGUGGUCAGUAGUUGUGGUAUGCAGUGGUGAGUAGUUGUGGUAUGUAGUGGUCAGUAGUGAUCAGUAGUUGUGGUCAGUAGUUGUGGUAUGUAGUGGUCAGUAGUUGUGGUCAGUAGUUGUGGUAUGUAGUGGUCAGUAGUUGUGGUCAGUAGAUGUGGUCAGUAGCUGUGGUCAGUAGUUGUGGUUAGUAGUUGUGGUAUGUGGUGGUCAGUAGUUGUGGUAUGUAGUGGUCAGUAGUUGUGGUAUGUAGUGGUCAGUAGUUGUGGUAUCAGUAGUUGUGGUAUGUAGUGGUCAGUAGUUGUGGUUUGUAGUGGUCAGUAGUUGUUGUCAGUAGUUGUGGUCAGUAGUUGUGGUAUGUAGUGGUCAGUAGUUGUGGUUUGUAGUGGUCAGUAGUUGUUGUCAGUAGUUGUGGUCAGUAGUUGUGGUAUGUAGUGGUCAGUAGUUGUGGUCAGUAGUUGUGGUAUGUAGUGGUCAGUAGUUGUGGUUUGUAGUGGUCAGUAGUUGUUGUCAGUAGUUGUGGUCAGUAGUUGUGGUAUGUAGUGGUCAGUAGUUGUGGUCAGUAGUUGUGGUAUGUAGUGGUCAGUAGUUGUGGUUUGUAGUGGUCAGUAGUUGUUGUCAGUAGUUGUGGUCAGUAGUUGUGAAUGGCAAGAAUAGCUAACAGGCAUAUUUGAAUAACAAAUAUAAAGUGGAUGAAGAUGUCAUACAUGUCAUACUCCAUUAUUAUUGUUCAGCAAAUGAUGACUCCUGAAUGUAUUUAGGCCAUAACAAAGGGGUUGAAUACUUAUUGACUCAAGACAUUUCAACUUAAAGUGUUUUAUUACAUUUGUAAAAAUUGCAACAACAAAAAACACACUGAACAAACAUAUAAACGCAACACGUAAAGUGCUGGUCCCAUGUUUCAUCAGCUGAAAUAAAAGAUCCCAGAAAUAUUCCACAAAAAGCUCAUUUUGUGAACACA
rnacentral:lncRNA from 1 species